rnacentral:ncRNA from 1 species
CUGGUUUAUCCUACCAGUAGUCAUAUGCUUGUCUCAAAGAUUAAGCCAUGCAUGUGUAAGUAUGAACUAAUUGAGACUGCGAAACUACAAAUGACUCAUGAAAUCUACAACUCAGAUAAUCGUAGUAAUUCUAGAGCAAAUACGUGCAAUAAACCCCAAACUUUUUGAAAGGGAUGCAUUUAUUAGAUAAAAGCUCGACGUGAGCUCUACCCAUUGCUUUGAUGAUUCAUGAUAACUCGACAAAUUACACAACCAUCUUGUCGAUGAUGCAUCAUUCAAAUUUCUGCCCUAUCAACUUUCGAUGGUAGGAUAGUGGCCUACUAUGGUAAUGACCGGAUACGAAGAAGUAAGGUUCAAUUCUUGAGAGGGAGCCUGAGAAACAGCUAGCAUAUCCAAGAAAGGCAGCAGAUGUGCAAAUUACCCAAUCCUGACAUCGGGAGGUAGUGAUAAUAAAUAACAAUAUUGGACUCUUCGAGUCUGGUAAUUGGAAUGAGUACAAUCUAAAUCCCUUAACGAAGAUCAAUUAGAGGGCAAGUCUGGUUCCAACAGCCGCGAUAAUUCAAGCUCCAAUAGUGUAUAUUUAAGUUGUUGUAGUUAAAAAGCUCGUAGUUGGACCUUGGGUUGGGUCGAUUGGUCUGCCUAUGGUGAGCACCAAUCGACUUAUCCCUUUUGCCGACGAUGCGCUCCUGGCCUUAACUUGUCGUGUCGUGCCUCCGACGUUACUUUGAAAAAAUUAGAGUGCUCAAAGCAAGUCUAAGCUCUGUAUACAUUAGCAUGGGAUAACAUCAUAGGAUUUUGAUCCUAUUCUAUUGGCUUUCAGAAUCGAAGUAAUAACUAACAAGGACAGUCGGCGACAUUCGUAUUUCAUAGUCAGAGAUGAAAUUCUUAGAUUAUGAAAGACGAACAACAGUAAAAGCAUUUGUCAAUGAUAUUUUCAUUAAUCAAGAACGAAGGUUGGGGGCUCGAAGACGAUCAUAUUGUUCGAAUUUAUGUCCUAAAACUCGUAGUUUGUAGUUAAAACUAUAUUCUA